AAAAAAUUAGUUAAUAAAUAUAACAUAAGUUUGUCAAACUUAAAUAACUAAUUAAAUUAGUAUUUUUUG
rnacentral:tRNA from 1 species